AAAGUCGUAACAAGGUCUCCGUUGGUGAACCAGCGGAGGGAUCAUUAAAAGAGCGCCGAAAGGCUGCUUAAAACCAUCGCGAACCCAUCCAUCAGCGUUGCUUCGGCGGGUGAGGCCCGGGUUCCCCGUACUUGUACGGGCGCCCGGGCCGGCUGCCCUACCCCGUCAGGGGCUGGGCCUCCCGCCGGAGGUACGAAACUCUUCUGAAUCUUAGUGAUAUCUCUGAGUAUACAAGCAAAUAAUUAAAACUUUCAACAACGGAUCUCUUGGUUCUG
rnacentral:misc_RNA from 1 species